UGGGGAAUAUUACACAAUGGGCGAAAGCCUGAUGCAGCAACGCCGCGUGAGUGAUGAAGGCCUUCGGGUUGUAAAGCUCUGUCUUUUGGGACGAUAAUGACGGUACCAAAGGAGGAAGCCACGGCUAACUACGUGCCAGCAGCCGCGGUAAUACGUAGGUGGCAAGCGUUGUCCGGAUUUACUGGGCGUAAAGGAUGCGUAGGCGGAUUUUUAAGUCAGGUGUGAAAUACCCGAGCUUAACUUGGGUGCUGCAUUUGAAACUGGAAGUCUAGAGUGCGGGAGAAGGGAGUGGAAUUCCUAGUGUAUCGGUGAAAUGCGUAGAGAUUAGGAAGAACACCAGGGGCGAAGGCGACUCUCUGGACCGUACCUGACGCUGAGGCAUGAAAGCGUGGGUAGCAAACA
rnacentral:rRNA from 1 species